rnacentral:tRNA from 1 species
GUUCUGGCUCAGUGGUAGAGCGCUUGCCUAGCAUGAGUGAGGCACUGGGUUCAACCCCCGGCACCACA